AACGUAGGACACAAGCGUUAUCCGGAGUUACUGGGCGUAAAGGGCGUGUAGGCGGGUGCGUAAGUCUGCUGUGAAAGUCCAGGGCUCAACCCUGGGAUGCCGGUGGAUGCUGUCGAGCUCGAGUCCGGAAGAGGAGUGUGGAAUUCCUGGUGUAGCGGUGAAAUGCGCAGAUAUCAGGAGGAACACCAAUGGCGAAGGCGGGUCUCUGGGCAAUUCCUGACGCUGAGGCGCGAAAGCGUGGGGAGCAAACGGG
rnacentral:rRNA from 1 species